AGCAGCCGCGGUAAUUCCAGCUCCAAUAGCGUAUAUUAAAGUUGUUGCAGUUAAAAAGCUCGUAGUUGAAUUUCGAGAUCAAUUUGUCGGUCGUGCCUCGGUACGUACUGGCAUUAUUGAUUUCUCCCUUCUGAAGAACCGCGAUGUCAUUAAUUUGGUGUCGUGGGGAAUCAGGACUGUUACUUUGAAAAAAUUAGAGUGUUUAAAGCAGGCGCACGCUUGAAUACAUUAGCAUGGAAUAACGAAAUAGGACGUUUGAUUCUAUUUUGUUGGUUUCUAGGAUCGACGUAAUGAUUAAUAGGGAUAGUUGGGGGCAUUAGUAUUCAAUUGUCAGAGGUGAAAUUCUUGGAUUUAUUGAAGACUAACUACUGCGAAAGACAUUUGCCAAGGAUGUUUUCAUUAAUCAAGAACGAAAGUUAGGGGAUCGAAGACGAUCAGAUACCGUCGUAGUCUUAACCAUAAACUAUGCCGACUAGGGAUCGGAUGAUGUUAAUUUUUUAAUGACUCAUUC
rnacentral:rRNA from 1 species